rnacentral:tRNA from 1 species
UAGGGUGUAGCUCAGUGGCAGAGCACUUGCCUACCAUGUGUGAGACCUUGGGUUCAAUCCUCAAUACUAUAA